rnacentral:tRNA from 1 species
GCCCUCAUCGUCUAGUCUGGUUUAGGACGCAAGGUUCUCAUCCUUGUAACACCAGUUCAAAUCUGGUUGAGGGCGCUA